rnacentral:rRNA from 1 species
GAUGAACGCUAGCGGCAGGCCUAACACAUGCAAGUCGAGGGGUAGAGUUAGCUUGCUAACUUGAGACCGGCGCACGGGUGCGUAACGCGUAUGCAAUCUACCUUGUACAGAGGGAUAGCCCAGAGAAAUUUGGAUUAAUACCUCAUAGUGUUAUGAUGUGGCAUCACAUUAUAACUAAAGUUCCAACGGUACAAGAUGAGCAUGCGUCCCAUUAGUUAGUUGGUAAGGUAACGGCUUACCAAGACAAUGAUGGGUAGGGGUCCUGAGAGGGAGAUCCCCACACUGGUACUGGGAAACGGACCAGCCUCCUACGGGAGGCAGCAGUGAGGAAUAUUGGUCAAUGGGCGAUAGCCUGAACCAGCCAUGCCGCGUGCAGGAUGACGGUCCUAUGGAUUGUAAACUGCUUUUAUACAGGAAGAAACACUCCCUCGUGAGGGAGCUUGACGGUACUGUAGGAAUAAGGAUCGGCUAACUCCGUGCCAGCAGCCGCAGUAACAC